rnacentral:rRNA from 1 species
GAUGAACGCUGGCGGCGUGCCUAAUACAUGCAAGUCGAGCGAACAGACGAGGAGCUUGCUCCUCUGACGUUAGCGGCGGACGGGUGAGUAACACGUGGAUAACCUACCUAUAAGACUGGGAUAACUUCGGGAAACCGGAGCUAAUACCGGAAAAUAUAUUGAACCGCAGGGUUCAAUAGUGAAAGACGGUUUUGCUGUCACUUAUAGAUGGAUCCGCGCCGCAUUAGCUAGUUGGUAAGGUAACGGCUUACCAAGGCAACGAUGCGUAGCCGACCUGAGAGGGUGAUCGGCCACACUGGAACUGAGACACGGUCCAGACUCCUACGGGAGGCAGCAGUAGGGAAUCUUCCGCAAUGGGCGAAAGCCUGACGGUGCAACGCCGCGUGAGUGAUGAAGGUCUUCGGAUCGUAAAACUCUGUUAUUAGGGAAGAACAAAUGUGUAAGUAACUAUGCACGUCUUGACGGUACCUAAUCAGAAAGCCACGGCUAACUACGUG